rnacentral:rRNA from 1 species
AUUGAACGCUGGCGGCAUGCCUUACACAUGCAAGUCGAACGGCAGCACGGGAGCAAUCCUGGUGGCGAGUGGCGAACGGGUGAGUAAUGUAUCGGAACGUGCCUUGUCGUGGGGGAUAACGUAGCGAAAGCUACGCUAAUACCGCAUACCAUCUAAGGAUGAAAGCGGGGGAUCGCAAGACCUCGCGCGACAAGAGUGGCCGAUAUCAGAUUAGGUUGUUGGUGGGGUAAAGGCCUACCAAGCCGACGAUCUGUAGCUGGUCUGAGAGGACGACCAGCCACACUGGGACUGAGACACGGCCCAGACUCCUACGGGAGGCAGCAGUGGGGAAUUUUGGACAAUGGGCGAAAGCCUGAUCCAGCAAUGCCGCGUGCAGGAUGAAGGCCUCGGUU